rnacentral:rRNA from 1 species
GACGAACGCUGGCGGCGUGCUUAACACAUGCAAGUCGAACGGUAAGGCCCUUCGGGGUACACGAGUGGCGAACGGGUGAGUAACACGUGGGUGAUCUGCCCUGCACUUCGGGAUAAGCCUGGGAAACUGGGUCUAAUACCGGAUAGGACCACUGCCUGCAUGGGUGGUGGUGGAAAGCUUUUGCGGUGUGGGAUGGGCCCGCGGCCUAUCAGCUUGUUGGUGGGGUGAUGGCCUACCAAGGCGACGACGGGUAGCCGGCCUGGGAGGGUGACCGGCCACACUGGGAAUUAGAUACGGCCCAGACUCCUACGGGAGGCAGCAGUGGGGAAUAUUGCACAAUGGGCGCAAGCCUGAUGCAGCGACGCCGCGUGAGGGAUGACGGCCUUCGGGUUGUAAACCUCUUUCAGCACCGACGAAGCGCAAGUGACGGUAGGUGCAGAAGAAGGACCGGCCAACUACGUGCCAGCCGCCGCAGUAA